CGUUCACAAUGAUGACGAAUGAUGACGGAGGGGGGGAGGGGGGUAAAAUUUACCGAAAAUUUUCGGUAAUUGUUACCCCCUUCCCCCCUCCGUCAUCAUUCGUCAUCAUGA
rnacentral:pre_miRNA from 1 species